CAAGAUGGGGGUCCCAGUUAGAAUUUCAGAGAUUUAGUAAUACAACUUGGAAAACAAGUUAAGAGUCUAGGGACUGUCAAGCAAAGGCUGAAAGAAGAAUUACCCUAUUCAUUUGCCUAUAAAAAGCAUUACCCCUAGCAUUACAAGGCAGUUUGGAAAAAUUCAAAAAGGAGUUUUAGAUCUUAGAAGUUGGGAGAGUCUGAAAAUUUGAAUUUCAAACUCAAAAAUAAAAGUUAGAAAUCUGAGAGGGUGAUCUGAUAAUUUCUGAAAAACCAAAAAAUAACACCAAAAACUCCCAAAAAUACUAUUCCAUUGAAGUUUUCUUACAAUAAUUUUGGGUUCCAGUUUGAAUUCUAACUUCUAGCUUAUCUAAGGUCCAAAGUGGCUUGAACUUUCCUAAUUUCAGUAAUUGGGGUUUAAAAGGUCCUGGAGUUAUUUUUGAGAUGAAUUUGGUCUAUUCAAAUUGAGCUUUUAGCUGUAUACUGGUUGUGUUAAUUGCUGGGUUUGUUUGAUAUCAUUUCUGGGAUCGAGAUUAACUCUAAGCUGCUGUUGCCUGCUGUUGAUCCAUCAUUUUCUUAUUUUGAACACAUUUCCAGGUACAUACCUCUCAAACUCCCUAUGUACUGCUGAAAGGCUGAUUUGAAGAAGGAAAUAAGAGGAUUAGAAGGUCUAUUAUAUUUACAUGUCUACUUGUGCACUAGAAUUACUGUCUCAUUCAAUAACCACCUGUAUUUGUAGGAUGAUUUCUAUCAUUUCCCCUUUAGACACAUUGUAAUUGAAAACUGGACUUGUAUUGUUUGCAUAUAGAUUACUAUACACAGCAUAUAGGUUAUUGUAAUUGAAACAUGACUUUAUAUGAACUUGAGUAGGUCUAUUAGUCCUUUAGUUUGAAAUAUGAAGUCAUCGUAAUAGCCUAUCAUCUGUUUAUGAUUUGGAUAAUGUCAUUAUACUUGGUUAUGAAUUGACAUUUGAAGCAAUGUAACUGGACUGGAAAUCGUUAUUUAUUCUAGUUUAGCAGUAUAGUGGUUUCAUUCGAAGAUUAGUAGUUCCAUCUUGCGCAUAGUCUAGCUUCAGUUAGGACAUCAAUAGAUCCCUGAGUUUAGCUUAUUGUAGAAUCAGUAUUCAAUGCACAAAUAUCAAAUUGAUCAUCCAAUAUCCCUCAUUUAUUAGCUUAUUGGUUCAAAUUCAUAUGGUGUGAUUCGUUAGACCUGUGCUUCUUUGUGUUUGUUCGGGGUUUAUUUCAUGGAGUUGGAACCCCAUUGGGGCUGGACAUAGAGAAGGCCCUGAGAUUUGUGGUCUCAAGGUAUAUCUGUCUAAAUACUUGUUGGGCAUGUUGUAAGCCCAAAUGCUGAUGGCUUCAACCAUAAAUCCUUACUUCCCUUUGGUUGGAUAACAUAACGUCAUUCCUACUGGGCUACCAGUAGACUGACAUUAGUUUCGCCCUUCUCUUGUUAGAGUAGUUAGCUUUACCACAAAAUCAAUUGGAAUUUUAACAAUAGUCUCAUGAUAACUACCCUACCCUUUUUAAAUAGAACAUAAGGUGAACUAUGAGAUUGUUUAGGAAUCGGGUAAGCCAUUUAGCAAAUUCCCAUGGCUUCCCCGAAGAUAUCAACAUGUUAGUUACUUUAGGCCCGUCAUUUAAUAAUAUUACCUUCUUAAACUCGGAUGCACAUUUAUGUGACCCAAAUCCAAAUCUCAACGGCGUUAGAAUAUGUCAAAAAUCACGGGUGCAAUUAUGUGAUGUGGUUCGAGACGUGUUUUAACAAUGUUGCAAAUUCCUUAAAAUUAAUUCAAAGCGGUAAGUAAUUUAAAAUUGCACUAUAAAUUAAAACAUGUAUUAAAAUGAGAUAUAUAUCCAUUUAUAAUAGUUUAAGCGACCGUGCUAGAACCACGGGAUCCGGGGGUGCCUAACACCUUCCCUCGGGUCAACAAAAUUCUUUAGUCCGAAUUUCUGGUUCGCAGACUUCACUUGGAAAGUCGAAUAUUUUAAUCGAUUUGAAUUCAAGAUAAAUAGGUGACUUGAGACACCAAAAGCCAAACCUUUCCCAAGUGGAUACUCUAAUCAGUAAAUAAUCCCAUUUCGAAUAAUGUAACUUAAAGUAAAAAACUCCAUAAUACAUUAUCCUUUGGGGCUAGGUGUGUAAAAAGGGAGGUGUGACACCCCUUAUUCGAGACCUCAACUUGCCCACUAGCCUAAGGACGGUAAGGGGUUGAAACCUUGUGAUUGACACCAUACCUUGCAAGCAAAGUAUCAAAUGCCUUAUUGCAGAAUGAGAGCCCACAUCACUGAUAAUUGCUCUAGGAGUGACAAACUGAGUAAAGAUGUUUUUCUUGGGAAAAGCCACCACACUCUGGGCCUCAUUGUUGGGUAAGGCCACAGUCUCAAUCCACUUGGAAACAUAAUCAACGGUCAACAGAAUGUACGUGUUAUCACAUGAACUCACAAAAGGUCCCAUGAAGUCGAUGCCCUACACAUCAAAUAUGUCAACCUCAAGAGUAAUGGUGAGAGGCAUUUCAUCCUUCUUUGAAAUUCCAUCUUCUCUCUGACACUCAUCACAUCUCUUCACAAGUUCAUCCGCAUCCUUGUACAAUGUAGGCCAAUAAAAUCCACAUCUAAGAACCUUUGAAGCUGUCCUCGCCCCACCAUGGUGACCAACGUAGAGAGAGGAAUGACAAGCAUCAAGAAUACUCAUUUUCUCCUCUUCCGGAACACACUAUCCUUUCAUAUUUUUAUUAUAUAAGGCUCACCUUUGUAUUAGUGCAAGCUAUCCCGUUUGAGAUUCUUCCUUUGGUUAGUAGAGAGAUCACACAGAACAAUACCGGUCACAAGAAAGUUGGCAACAUCCAUAAACAAUGGCAUGUUAUUCACAGAAAACGGAGAAGAGCUGCUCAUCAUGGAAUGAAUCAUUAAUUUUGAGGCCAUCACAAGGCCUUCCCUCCUCCUCCAAGCGGGACAAGUGGUUUGCCACUAGGUUUUCACUCCCUUUCCGAUAAAAAAUCUCAAGAUCAAACUCUUGGAGAAAUCGAACCUAUCUAAUCAACCUAACCUUGGAAUACUUCUUUGCAAUCAAGUGCCGGAGUGUUGUAUGGUCAGUAUGAACUAUCACCUUGACACCCAUGAUAUAAGGCCUAAUUUUCUCCAUUGUAAACACAAUUGCUAGCAACUCUUUUUCUUUAACCGUGUAAUUCAUUUGAACAUCAUUCAUUGUCUUGCUUGCAUAAUACACCGGGUGAAACAUCUUAUUUACUCUUUGACUCAAGAACACUCCUGCCACAACAUCACUUGCAUCACACAUGAGCUCAAAAGGUAAGCUCCAAUUGGGUGCGGCAAUAAUGGGAGUGGUUGUCAAUUUGUAUUGAGAAGUUCAAAAGCCUUCAUGCAUUUAUCAUUAAACACGAACUUUGCAUCAUUUUCCAAUAAUUUGCACAAAGGAUUCACUACCUUUGAAAAGUCUUUGAUGAAUCUUCAGUAGAACCCCGCAUGCCCAAGAAGACUUUUAACCCCCUUGACUGAAGUAGGAGGAGGAAGCUUUGAAAUCACUUCAAUUUUCACCUUGUCCACCUCAAUACAAUUUUAUGAAAUCUUAUGGCUGAGGACAAUUCCCUCCUCGACCGUAAAAUGACAUUUCUUCCAGUUAAGUACUAGAUUUGUCUCCUCACAUCGGGCCAAUAAUUUGUCAAGAUUUUUCAAACACUUAUCAAAAGAGUCAACCACAACACUGAAAUCAUCCAUGAACACUUCAAAGAUGUCCUCCACCAUAUCGGUCAAUAUAGCCAUUAUAUACCAUUGAAAAGUACCUGGUGCAUUACACAAACCAUGGCAUCUUAGAAAAUGCAAAUGUGCCAUACGGACAUGUGAAUGUGGUUUUCUCCUGAUAUUCCGGAGCAAUCAAAAUCUGGUUGUAACUUGAGUACCUAUCCAAAAAGCAAUAGAAGGCAUGCCCAUCAAGUCUAUCCAGCAUCUGGUCAUGAAAUGGCAAAGGAAAAUGAUCCUUGCGGGUCACUUUAUUCAGCUUUCGGUAGUCCAUGCACACCCUCCAUCAAUCCUGGUGGGAAUCAACUCAUUUUGCUCAUUGGUAACCACAGUCAUACUACCCUUCUUCGGCACAUAUUGCACCAACAAAGUACAAGAACUAUCCGAUAUGGGUUACACAACCCUUACAUCUAGCCACUUGAUAACCUCCUUUUUUGACAACCUCUUGCAUAGCCUCGUUCAACCUCCUUUGAUGUUCCACGGAGGGCUUGACAUAAUUUUUAAGUAUAAUAUUGUGCAUGCAAAAGGUGGGGCUUAUUCCCCGAAUAUCAUGUAGAGUCUAUCCAAUUGCCUUCUUCCUUCUUUGGAGCACCUCCAGUGUGGCAUCUACAUGCACCUUAGUAAGACAAGAAGAAAGAAUAACAAAUAAAGUUGAACUAGGCCUACAAAUUCAUACCUAAGGUAUGAAGGCAAAGGCUUCAACUCCAAAAUGGAAUGUUCCUCAAUUGAGAGCUUUGUUUGGGGAGUCUUUCUAUCCGCAAGAUCCAAAGAAAGCUUAUGGGGCUGAUAAGAAUAAUAACCCAUUCAGUGCAAAUCAUUGACACACUCCACCCGACCUUCAUUCUCAUUAACAUCAAGGUUCAACAAUACCUCUUCUAAAAUAUCGUCCACAUUGACUAUGGCAGUAGGAUAAUCAACUAUCACCUUCGUGACAAGAUCCACAAAAGAGCAAACAUUAGUACUAUUCAGCUGCCUUAUUGAUUUGCACACAUGAAAGAUAACUUUUUCAUCACCCACUCGGAAGGUGAGCUCCCAUACUUCCACAUCAACCAAUGCCUUCCCAGUUGGUAGGAAAUGCUUUCUCAAAAUUAUAGGCACCUCAUAGUCGACUUCGUAGUCAAGAAUCACAAAAUCAGUUGGGAAAAUAAACUUGUCCACCCAGACAAGAACAUCAUCAAUAAUACCAAGCGGCCUCUUCAUUGUUCUAUUCUCCAUUUUCAACCUCAUUGAAGUAGGUCUUGGUUGACCAAUACCUAAGGUUUUGAACACGGACUAAGGCAUCAAAUUGAUGCUUUAUCCCAUGUCACAUAAUGCUUUUGCAAAAUUUGCACUCCUAAUGGUACAUGGAAUGGUGAAAGCGUUGGGAUCUUCAAGCUUUGGAGACAUCGAGUGUACAAUUGCACUUACUUGGUCAGUCAUUUUGAUGGUCUCACAAUCCAUACAUAUCUUUUUAGUGACCAAGCUUUUCAUAAACUUGGUGUAACCCGGCAUUUGUUCAAGAGUUUCCACCAAAGAAACAUUGAUUGACAAUCUUUUCAUCAUCUCAAUAAACUUCUUAUGUUGGGUUUUAUUCUUUUUCUUUGCAAGUCUUUAAGGUUAAGGUGGAGGAGGCUUGGAAAGGGAGACUUAGCCUUGGACACUACCAUUUUUGGCAUGUCUAUCACCUGUUCUCUAGAUGGGUUCGCGUCAUUUUUAGUCUCCACUUCAUUAUCAUGAAUAUUAAUCCUUACUUCAGCUUUCAAAUUCUCUUCACUCACUUGCUCAUAAACUAUAGGAACAUCAUCAUCUUGUACUUCAACCUCAUAAAUCACAACUUCCUUUUGAUUGGAAGUGUUCAUUUCACCACCUCAACCGCUUCUAGUAGUCACCUAUUGUUCCCACCCUUUGGAUUAACUACCGUAUCACUAGGUAGAGACCAUUAGGGCGUGUAUUCAAGAUUGUGAAAUCUGGCCAAGUUGAACCUCCAAGUUUCAGAUUGAAGUAUUAUGGGAUGUUACCUGAGCAUCCGAGUUGACGUUUUUUUUCAUCAUUUGCUCAAACAUCAUCUCGAUCCUUCCAAUCUCAUUAUUUGAUGAGCUAGGACAUUGGGACAUAAAUGGAGGUGGGUUGUUUGGUUGUUUAUACAAUGGAGGUCUUUGAAAGCCUUGCCCCUAAUUUUCUAGAUUGCCAUUAUUCCAAUCCCUUUGGUUGUUGUUUCCUCCCAAAUUGUUGUUGUUGCCACUCUAGUUGCCCUGGUUGUUCUGAUUGUUGUUACCCUAGUUGCUAUUUCUUGUUGAUUUUGAUUCCCCCCAUUUCCUUGGGAUCUCUAUUAUUGUUUUUCAUUAGGAUCAUUGCCCCUUUUUACUGGACUUCUUCACUUUGCUCAUCAUACCCAUCAUCUUAAUUGAAACUGUGACUACUUUGCUCAUAUUGAUCCGGAUUUUCUUGACUUUGUUGCCCUCUUUGUCGCCUCUUGUUGACCAACAUGUUUACACGUUCCAUAAUAUUGACUUGUCUUGGCGCUUGAACUUGUUGCAAUUGAGCUUUAGCCAACUAGUUCAUUGUUAUAGUCAACUCUGCUAUGGCCUGACUAUGAUCAUGGAGCUCUUGUGCAAGUGAAUGAUAGUUUGGUCAUCCUAUGGCACAUUAGCUCGACUUUGCCAAGCUGAGGAAGUAUCAACCAUCUCAUCAAGAAUAUCACAGGACUCAGCAUAAGGCAUCUUCAUGAAAUUACCCCUGCUAGCUGGUUCACUAUACAUUGAUUGGUCAUGUUUAUACCCUGAUAAAAUGUUUGUUUAAUCAUUGCUUCAGUUAUAUUAUUGUUGGGGCAUUCCUUGACCAUAGUUCUAUAUUGAUCCCAGAUUUCAUGAAUUGAGUCAUUUGGUUCCUAUUUUAUUGCUAAGAUUUCAUCCCGUAAUACAACCAUAUGUCUCAAUGAGAAAAAAUUGGCCAUAAAAUUAUCGGCCAACUAAUCCCAUAUAGUGAUAGAAUGGUUGGGGAGUCUCUCGAGCCAGUCCAAAGCUUUCCAUCUAAGUGAGAAAUGGAACAAUCUUUGUCUCAAUGCAUUCUAUGACACAUUAGUUUGUUUGCUUUCCCAGCAGGUAUCCACAAAGCCCUUUAGAUGUUUAUAUGCAUUCUAAUGGGGAGCACCUGUUAAGUACCCUCGUUGCUCUAAUAAAGUCAGCAUCACAUUUGCAAUUUGAAAAAUUUACCACCCGGAUCCAUGGUGGGACAAUUGCACUUGCUUUCUUCGUUUGGAAGCACCCGAGGAGCGACUCUUGGAGGAGGCAGAGGAGGGUCAGGAACAUUUUCAUUGUCCUGGCGGCGUCUUCUUUGAGCCUGAGAUACUAGAGGUACUCAUCUUUACCAUUAUUAUCUACCUCCUCCCCCAAAAUAGCAUUUCCAAGAUUAUCGUUGUUCACCAUUUUGUACCCGAAUUAAUGACACACACAAGUUAGUAAUAUAGAAGGAAAGAAAAACAAGACACAAAACUAGUCAGAUAGAUAGCCAAAACCAUUUAGCUCCCCGGCAAUGGCACCAAAAAGUGAUCGGCUCCAACCCUACACCAAUAUAUAAUGGAAAGGAGUGGUCGAUACAACUUUUACCCAAAAGGUCGAGAUCGAUAUCUUCAAGGAGCUAAUAUUUGUUGGGAGUUGGGUUUCUAUCCAAUCUAGCUAUGCGUGUUGCUCUUCUAAUCAUGUUUGAAUUUGUUUCUAUUCUACUUUUAAUGCUAUUGACUACUGAAAGUAAUCUAAGUACACUACGUUUGUAGGAUUUUUUCUCAAUUGACAAAAAACACUAGGGAAAUGACUUACACCUAGGUGAGUAUCUAAUGUGAUCUAGAAUUUACGACAAGCUUGUUGUAUUUGGGGUCAUGAUGCAACGGUGCUAAAAAGUGAUCAGAGCAAACCCUACACCAUUAUAGAGUGGCAAGAGCAGUCGAUGCAGCUUUUACCCAAAAGGUCGGGAUCGAAUCCACAUAGAGUUUAGGGUUAAGUUUGGAAUUGGAUUCUAUCUCAUCUAGCAGUGUGCGAUGCUCUUAAUUAUGCUUCCAAUCAUUCUUUGUUUGUUUGCUACUCUAUUUUAAUACUAAUGAUGCAAGAAAAUUAGCUAAGUAUGAUUUUUGUGAGGUUUUGUUUUAAUUGGUCUAAGGCACUAGGGAAGUGACUUGAACCUAGGUGGAUAUCUAACGGGAUAAAAAACUUAGGGAAAAGUUGUUAUAAUUGGAAUCAUGAUAUAUCCAUUGCACGUAACUACUCACUCUAUACCUCUCGGUAGCUUAAAUUACUUUGCCCUAAUUGGCUUUCUCAAGCCCAAUCGGGUGUUCAAACAAUGCAAGCGAAAUUGGCUCAAGUCGGUUAUUACUGUCUCUAGGUUUAACCCUUUAAUUGGGGCUAUCAAUCUCUUGAAUGCAUCCCAAUGACUUGUUGGCCUGAAUUUCGUAGACUUAGAGUCUCUUUCUCAAGAAGAUCCUAAGUCAAAAAGGCACAAACAAGUGUAGCAACCACCAGUUCAACAUUUAAAAUAUGAAUCAUGCAAAAUAUCAUUCACCCAUAAAUAUUUAAGCCCUAAAAUUGAAGACCCGUUAAAUAACCACACUAGAGUUGAGCCACAACCCUAUCUAAUGGAUUUAGCUACUUAUAAUCAUAGAAAAAACAAAAGAUGUAGAUGAAAUAUAACCUAUAAAAAGUAAGUACAAGAGAAGAAUAUAAGAUUAAUGGUUAACAACGCUCUAAAAUUAUUCAAAAAGGCUAAAAGUGGCGGUUCACAUGCUCAACUGAUAACAGAUGACCAAACAAUCUGAAUAUGAACUAUUUAUCCACAACAAAAUUUUACUGGACAAAUUUGCCCCUACGAAGGUUCCGCUGAAAGCGAAAAAUAGACCGAUGCAGCGCUAAGACUACCGCGGCCACGUAAAUCCACCCUGGACCGCAGUCUUCAACUCUUUCCUUCACUUCUGGUUCUCUGAUACUUGCUUCCGCUGAGGUCGAUAAAAUGAACGUUGCCACGCUAAGGCUACUGCUAUCGCACAAUUUCACCGCGGGCAAUGUUGACUAGUAAAUCCCAAAACUGUAGCUCUUUUAAAGUUUCCACUGCUGAAAGCAUAAAAAAGACUGGCUCAGCGGUGGACCCUCUGCGUCAGCGCUGGAAUCUUCGCGGUCAGUGCUCCUUUGACUCAGAUUUUUGAACUUGUGUAAGUUUCAGUCCUUUGUGAGCUGAUGUUCACUUUCUUGUCUUUUUUUUACCAAACACUGCAAAUAAGCACAUUAUGUUAGCUUUCGGGAAUACUUGUACAUAUUUUUAAUCAAAAACUCAAGUAAAAAUGAGCAUAAAAUAGGCUAGAGUACCUAGUUAUCACAUAAUCGAUAUCCAGUUGAAGAUUAGGGUCAAAGAAGAUCAACUGGGGGCUUCAAUUGGACAUGAUCGAACAGAGAUUGAUAUCAGCCAUACGGUGGAUAUAAAAAAAGGGACCUUGGAGCAACCCCGCUCGUAAUGAUAGAAGGAAUGAUCGGGGAGAGCUCCCGAGGGCUCAUGAUAAAGAGUGGUUUUGAUAGAGAUAUCGGGUCCUAAGAAGCACCUCGAUUUUCAGAAUAUAACUUCAGCGUAGAUGCUUCCGCCAUAGUAUCAGCCAUUUGGCACAUAAAAGAUACUAGGUUGACUCGACCUCUACAAACCAUCCGGCCUAGAGAAACCCAAACCAAAUAUGCAUGUAUCAUGGCACACAUGGCAAUAAUAUAGAAUAAUGCAGACAACUAAAAGAGGAAGUAUCCCGAUUGUUCACCGAGGGGAGCCUUCGAGAACUCCUAAGCGAUCGAGCCGAGAACCACUUCCAAAAUAGAGAUUCGAAUAGAUAGAACGAGCAGGAAGAGCCACAACAUGUGAUUCACAUGAUUUUUGAUAGUUGAAGGAAUCAAUAUUCAUCAAGGACUGGUAUUCAAACGCAACAUGGUGACAAUCACAAGAGAAAAGCGGACUCGAAACUAUUUACCAAAAGAGACAUUGUCUUUUAACGACGAGGAUGCUAAAGGGAUCGAACAACUUCAUAAUGAUGCACUGGUUAUAUAUAUAAUUAUGAAUAAAUUAAUGUUACGCCUGUGUUAAUUGAUAUAGGUAGCUUGGCCAACAUUGUUCGAUCAAGGGUCAUAGAGAAACUCGGCGUACAGGAUCAAAUUGUGCCUGCAGCUCGAGUACUUAACGGAUUAAACAUGGCAAGUGAAACCACCAAAGGGAAAAUUAAUUUGCUAGUAAAUGUGGCCAGAACCAUCCAAAAAACAAAGUUCCAUGUGAUCGAGGGUGGCAUGAGGUACAACGCACUGCUCGGAAGGCCUUGGAUCCAUAACACGAGGGUAGUAUCCUCGACACUUCGUCAAGUCCUGAGGUUCCCAACAACAGAAAGAUUCAAAAUGGUGUACAGUGAACAACACUCCACUAAAUAAAUGUUUGCAAUCAACAAAGUGGUACCAAUAUCGACGCUUUCAUCAACAAAGGGAUCGGAGUCGAAGGGAAAGCCAGAAGUCAAAUAGAUAUCACAUUCACCAGCCUCAGACUGAUCGAAGGAGCAGGAAACUUUCAAGGAUGAUAAUUAUAUGAUACCUCAAACCUUCAUAAUCCCAAAUAAUUUAGAUGCAAAGAAGUUAAUGGUCAAAGAGAUGGAACAAAUCAUGCUAUUCGAGCAUCUGCCCGAUCGAAUGGUGUACCUGGGCACGAGGUUAACUCCCGAGCUCAGGAAAAAACUUAUUCUAUUCCUUUUAGAUAACCUAGAUUAUUUUUCUUGGUUCCAUCUUGAUAUGAGAUGGAUCCUACACGAGAUCACCACCCAUCGAGUAAGCUUGGACCCGAAGUUCCGUCCAGUAAAGCAAAAGAGAAGACCCCAAUCCGAGGUUAAGCAUAUAUUCAUCAAGGACGAGGUAACCAAACUUCUGAAAAUGUGGUCCACUUGAGAAAUAAAAUAUCACGAAUGGUUAGCAAACAUAGUAGUAGUCGCUAAGAAUGGAAAUAACUUAGAAUGUGCAUAGACUAUAAGGACUUGAGCAAGGCCUGCCCUAAGGUUUCUUUUCCUUUUUCGAACAUCGAUCGCAUGAUUGAUGCCCCGGCCGACCACCAGAUUCUCAGUUUUCUCGAUGAAUAUUUCGACUACAAUCAAAUACAGAUGAACCUAGAAGAUCAGGAAAAGACUUCAUUCAUCACUAAACAUGGCACUUAUUGUUAUAAAGUAAUGUCAUUCGGACUAAAAAAUGCUGGCGCAACUUGUCGACGCCUAGUAAAUCGAAUGUUCAAAGAACAAAUAGGGAUGGCUACGAAAGUUUAUAUUGAUGGCAUACUAGUUAAGUUUCUGCGAGUAGAGGACCAUUUGAAACAUUUGGAGGAGACUUUCGAUAUACUAAAGAGGUACAACAUGAAACACAACCUAGAAAAGUGUGCAUUAGAGGUUGGCUCGAGCAAGUUUCUCGGCUUCAUGGUGUCUAAUCGAUGGAUCUGGAUCUAGUCACCAUUUCUUCUCACUACUUAAGAAGAAGAGCACUUUUGCAUGGACUUCGGAAUGGAAACAAGACUUAGAAAAACUAAAACAAUACCUAUCAAGCUCUUCAGUGCCUCAUACCCCCAAAGCGGACGAGCAACUCUACUUAUACUUGGUGGUAUCGGAAAUAGCGGUAAGUCGGUCCUAGUCCAAGAAGAACAAGGUACGCAAUUCCCAAUUUACUAUGUUAGUUGGACCUUAGGCGAGGCUAAAACUAGGUACAUUCACUUAGAAAAAUUAGCGCUUGCUUUAAUAAGCGCCUCUAGGAAACUAAAACCAUAUUUCCAAUGUCACCCGAACUUUUGGGGCGAUUGGACAAAUGGGCCGUAGAACUCAAUGGGUACGAUAUUGAGUAUCAACCCCGAACAACAAUUAAGUAUUAAAUCUAGACAGUCUUCGUGGCUGACUUCACCCUAGUCCUCAUACCUGAGGUCAAAAAGGAACUGUUAUUAAAAUCAAGUACAUCAUUAGAGGUAUUGACCCUCUUCACCGAUGGCACUACAAACAUGAAAAGGCUUGGGAUGGGCAUCGUUUUGAAGCCAUCCACAGGUAACAUAAUUAGAUAAUCUAUCAAAACUUCAAAGUUAACUAACAAAGAGGCCGAGUAUGAGGGCAUGAUUGCAGGUCUCGAGCUGGCUAAAAGUUUGGGAGCAGAGCUUAUCGAGGCCAAAUGUGGUUCCGUACUUGUGGUAAACCAAGUCAACAGAACUUUUGAAGUCCGAGAAGAUCGAACCCAGAGGUACUUGAACAAGCUACAGGUAACUCUACAUUGAUUUAAGGAGUGGAACUUACAACACAUACCUAUAGAAAAAACAACGAGGUCGAUGCCCUUGCAAACUUGGGGUCAUCGGUCGAAGAUGACGAGCUUAACUCGAGGACUGUCGUCAACUCUCGAGAUCGCUAAUCAAAGAGUGUAACACUGAAAAAACUCUUCAAAUUUGACUUGGGAUUGGAGAAACAAGUACAUUGAGUAUUUGAAGAGCAGGAUGCUCCCAUCAGAUCCGAAGGAGUCAAGGAUUCUAAGCACGAAGGCAACACGGUUCACUUUGGUCGAAUAUGGAAAACUAUUCAGGAGGAUGUCCGAUGAGCCAUCGGCGAUAUGUUUUGGUCCAGAAGAUACUGAGUACGUUCCAUAGGAAAGUCACAAAGGCACUUGUGGGUACCAGUCUGGUGCCGAAUCACUGGUCCACAAAGUUAUCAAAGAAGGGUACUAUUAGGCUGGUAUGGAAAUGGAUACAAAAGAGUUCGUUUGAAAGUGCGAUAAAUGUCAUUGUAUGAACUGAUGAUUCACCAUCACGAUGAGCAGCCCCACUCAGUCUUACCCCUAUGGUCGUUCAUGAGAUAGGGAAUAGACAUUGUCGUCCAUAUACCAUCAGCCCCAUGUAAAUCACAGUUUAUUUUAUUUAUGAUUGAUUAGUUUUCUAACUGGAUUGAAGCACAUGCUUUCGAGAAUAUCAGCGAAAAAGAAGUCAUAGACUCUAUUUGGGAUAUAUGUCAAUUUAGGGUGCCUGCCAAGAUUUUGUGCGACAAUGGAAAGCAAUUCAUCGGCAUCAAGGUAACUAAAUUUCUUGAGGAUCACAAAAUAAAAAGGAUUCUAUCAAUGCCAUACCAUCCCAGUGGACGGACAAGCCAAAUCGAGCAACAAAACUAUCAUUCAAAAUAUAAAUGAAAGAUUGAGCGACGCUAAGGGAAAAUGGAGAGAAAUAUUCCCCUAGGUUCUUUGGGUAUACCACACGGUGUUGAAAUCCAGUACGGGGGCAACACCGUUCUCUUUGGUCUACAGCACCGAAGCUCUUAUCCCGGUCGAGGUCGGGGAACCUAGCCUCAUUUUUUGAUAUGUGAAAAAAGAAUCAAAUAAUGAAGCUUUGAUUAUGAGCCUAGAAUUGUUGGAUGAAACGCAUGAGGCCACCCUAGUUCGUUUGUCCACACAAAAGCAACGAAUCGAAAGGUACUACAACCGAAAAACCAAUCUUCGACACUUCAAAAUAGGGGUAUUGGUGCUAAGAAAGGUUUCUGUUAACACUCGAAACCCGAAUGAAGGAAAACUGGGUCAAAUCUAUAGGAACCAUAUUAGGUCUUCAAUAUUAUUGGAAAGGGAUCCUACAAGCUCAACACAAUGAAAGGCGAGCAGCGACCAAACAAUUGGAAUGUAUCACUACUAAAGCGAUACUACUACUAAGGUACGACCUUACCAUUUCCAUUUAUAUUUUUAGCUAACCAAUUGCAGGUGUUCGAUCAGGAACAGUGAUGGAUCCUUCAAGACGAAGUCUUUAGUUCUGAAAGCACGCGUUGUACUCUUAUUCCCUGAGACCGGUUUUUUCCCAAUUGGGUUUUUCGGCGAGGUUUAUAACGAGGCCACCAUUGAUCGUGCUAACUUAGAAUAAUCCAAUAGUAUCUGAGGCUUCUUUACAAUCAACCUUGAAUACUGGGGGGCACUACCCUCGAAUGUGAACUUUGUUGGAAGGAAAUUACUUCGUAAUAGUAGGGUCUCGAUGGGUAAAUUUUGUAAUGGCCAAAUGAUUGAAUGAACCGUGCCCAUAUAGGUUACUCGAUCCCUAACAUCAAACAUGUACGCAUAUAUAAUAAUCUAUUGAAAGAAGUAUAUUCCCUUGCCUACAUCUCAUGCCUUAGAAAUGUUUUCUACUUUAUUUCAUACUCUUGAUCUAUUGUGUAAACAUGCUUAAGGACCAAUCACAAUGGAACCCCACACUCUGGGAAUUCCAUCCGGAAAACAAACGAGAUUGAAUUAUAAAAACUUUGAGACCAUACGACCUUCAUAGGCGACCCUCGAUUUUUAUGGUCCACGUCCACCCCACUCGGGGACUCACACUUCGGUCAAGCUCAAAGUGAAACAGAAAAAUACGCCCAAAGGGAAAGUCCCAAAUAAAAAAUCUACAAAAAAAAUAAAAAUAAAAUAAAAUAAAAAAGCUACGAUUGAAUUAACACGAUUCGGUGACGUCUGAAUUCCUUAAUAAAAUAGACCUUCAAAUAUUCUUAUAAACCGGUUAAAAGGCUACCCUAAGCAAAAUGACAAAAGGCUUCGUAAAUAUCAAGUCUCAAGUACCCAAAUAAAUGCAAACUCUCGAACAAUUACUUAUUUCGUGCUAAGGCAUAAUUAUUUUUUGUAUAACUAACAAUGAACUUUUUUAAGCCGAAAAGGGGAAAAACAGAUCUUUGUACCAAGCCACAUUGGCCUAAUACGAAAGCCUAAGGGACAUCAUUUGUUUUGAGUUUGAUGGAUCAUCCUCACUCAGUUAAAAAAUCUAAAUAUUACCCUACGUCGAGUUCGAGCGAGCACUCAUUCGAAAUUAGUUCGGUUUCGGUCCAAAUUGCCUAAGCCUCGAACCUAUGGAUGUAAUUUCAUAAGGCAUAAAUAAACAAAAAUAACAAGGGAAAGAAGACUCCUUUGCAUAACAAAAAUCAUUUACGAAGGCGGCAUGGCCCGAUCUGAACUCAUUACAAAGGCCAAAACGGCCUUAAAAGAAACACUACUAGUCCUAAAGGCCUAGUCUUCUUUGGUAGAAGCUUCUUCACCCUCAGAGUCCUCUAUAGGUCCGCUCUCAUCCUCAAAAUCGUGAUCGGUUCUUGGCAAUUCGAGUUCAAAAGAUAUGUCGAAACUAUGAUUAAGAACCCCCUAGAGAGCCUCCCUUCGAGGUUACCAAUUUGAAUGAUCUACCAUUCCCUUGGCCUGACCAAGGGUGGCUUCAGCGUUGACUUUGUAAUGAGCCGCAGUAUCCUGGGCAUUAGUAUUGGCUGCAGCCACUUCAAAUCUGGCAAACUCGAGCUCCUUUGCCAAGAUAGCCAAAUUGGACUCGAGCUCCUCGACCUUUUUCGCCCGGACCUAGGCAUUGUUCCUUACACAUCAAAGUUGUGACUUGGCGGAAUCCAGCUCUGCUUGCACAGUCUCCUUUUGUGGUAGCCAAAAUAUCCAUACAACCCUUGAAAUGUUCGGCCUCGUCUCACACUUUAUCUAUUUGCUCUUGAAGGCCCUUGAUCUGUUCGAGCCUCUAUCGAACUUGUAGAAUGGGAUUGUUGGUUGUUAUCUGACUCAUCCUCACUAUCACGAAGAACUUAGAAUAUCUGCUCGUCCAUCUCUUCAUACGCAUCUCGAGCCUCCACCAUAUCUACCUAAAGCUUCUCACUGAGAAGCUUGUACGUAUUGCAUUCUCAGUGAGACCCUAGACUUCGGCCUUGCCUUCCUCUCGGAUUUGAAGAAAAGCCUCAUGAUGCAAAACCGAAACCUACUAUAAAGGAAUAAAAUGUUACAGAUAUUUACAAUUCAAAGUCAUUAAAAUAUAAAGCCCCUUGAACAUACCCGACUCAGAUCGUGCUGGGCCUCAUUGAACAACAUGCAAUGUCCACUACAUCCAUUUUGGCUGGUCCUCUUCAUUGAACAAACAUCGAAGAUAGCUAGCCACCCCUAUGGGGUAGACAAAACUUGAAUAUCUUCCGAGAUCGAGAUGAUAAUUGGUCGUUUAUGCUCAGGAUCGAUGUUGGGAGCAGGAAAUUGAAUGGUCCGUUUAAAGCUCGAUGACGCCUCAUUCGAGCUCUUCCUCGAUACGACCAAGCCACCUAUACCAUUGAAAUAUUCCACUUCGGUAAUGUAGUCACCGAAAAGGUCUUCUGCUUCAUGGGACUCUCUGCCGUGACAAGUCUUCACAGCCGAGCAUCACGUAUCAUCGGAUCCUAAACUGGAGGGAACGAGGAAGAUCCCUCGAUAUCUAUUGCCCCUAGUGGGUCCUUCGAGGCAUCAUCUUCAUUUUGAGGGGGUUUGAUCCCAGUUUCUACACCGAGGCCUAUAGAAUGAAAAUGAGGAGUAAGUACAGUAAAAAACCCGAAUGAAAACCUUUGUAAGGAAAAAACGAUUGCCAUGAUUACGAGCCUCCCAUUGGCCCCUUGACAAAUCUAUCCUAGCACGCUUAGAAUAAGUUUUUUAUGACACUAAUCCCUCGACCCAUUGCCUUAGGCCGGGGAUCACUUCCGGUACAACGGCUACAACUGCAACACAAAUAUUUGGAUGAGGGUAAGACAAGAAGUAAAUCGGCAAAAAUGGAUAUUCAAAGGUAGAACAGUACUUACGUUUCAUGUUCCAUUUUACAAGGAACGACAUGUCUUCGGCAGGAAUUAGAUCAUUUGUCUUUAUUCGAACAAAUCUACCCAUCCAACCUUGGUCUCUAGUUUCGUCUAUGCUUGAGAAUGAGGGUCUGAUGGCUCAGCAGUGAAGCUUGAUCAUGCCCCCAUGAUAAAGCCGGGGGUCGUUAAGGCGCAUGAGGGGAUCAAUGGUAAAAUGAUUCCACUCGAUCUUGCUUACAAAGUAUCAAAGGAGGAUCAUGAUCUUCUAAAACGAUAGGUGAAUUUGGUCGUGAGUGACAUCGUACCUCUUGCAAAAGGAAAUGAUGAUAGGGUCUAACAGACUUAUCGUGAAGGGGUAGGUAUAGACACUCAAUUACCUCUCCCCUGUGAAUUGUGAUGGAUUCCUCGGGGCUACGCACUACUACAUCCUCUCCUACAUAGUUGCACUCCUUUUUUUACCUUCUCGAGAAGACCUUCUGUGAUCAUGCACACAUGUACCUCGAUAUUGGUUCACAUCGAAGGUAUCAGGGGCGUAUUCUCCACCUUGAAAACAACAACAGUGGCACACUUCGUUAGAACAAAGUCCGCAAGGGGAUAUUCCGCUGUGGCCGCAGCACCGACGGACUUUGAUGAAGAUGCAUUUUCCUUCUGUGGAACAACUUUAGAUGUUUUGGCCAUUUUUGUUUUUGCAAUCACGGAGGAUUGGGAUUAGGAUAUUUGGUGUUUUGAAAAUAGGUUAACAAUAAAUCUUGAAGAUUUGGUGAUGAAGAACUUGGAGAAUGCAAAGAGCUUUGAAUAUUGGAGCAGAAGAGACGGAAAGUAAAAUUUGAAGAAGUGGAAAAAAAGCCUAUUUAUGGGUUUCAUGGCGAUGGUUCAAAAUUUCUAAUGGCCAACCGGCAACUGACGCGCAAUAAAUGCAUGGAAAACUGAACCGAUGGGAAGUUUCGGUCACUCCUUCCACUUACAUCACAAUGCUUACAUCAUGACAAACCGGGGGUAAAUUCAAAAACUCAAUUCGUUUCUUGUCAAUAUACUCCAAGAAACGAGAAGACUAUUUGUGUACGUUCAAAAUCGGGCUUUGCCUAAUUUUGCUGAUUAACCGGAACCAGGGGAUAGGUCGACGAUUGACCUCAUAGCAUGUUAGACCAAGAUACGAGGAUAAGGUACCAAGUUUGGGAUUCGAGGUACGUGUCGAGAUCGAGACCAGUAAUGAUCGAGAUCGAACUCAAGAAAAACCAAAGAUAGAAUAAUAACGGAAAUGAGAGAUAUCCAUCGUUAGUCGAGAAUCACGGCGGAAAUCUCGGAACAGAUCAAGUCAAGGAUGGUUAUUUCGUCCUGUAGUUAGAAUUAUACCGUAAAUAGGAUACAUCUACUAUAUAAAGAGGGUCCUAACCAUUUGUAAUCACCUUACAUUCACGCAUAACAAAGCAAUAUAUCACUUUUUUUAUCUCUUGCAAGCUCUAUUGUUCAGUUCAUACUUUUAAUAGUUCAAUCCGGUUGGUUCGAGGGCAAUUAGCUCAUGGGCCAUAAUUGUUCAUCAUGCUGGUUUGCUUUAUUUCACUGUAAUUUCCAUAAUUAGUUCUUACAUUUAUCAAUUUUUUCCAAGUAAAAUCACAUUUCCUUGAAAUCACUUAUAAGUUUAAUUGUUAUCUGAUCGUCAAGAAGACUACAACCGAUAGUGGAUCACCUUUUGCUUAAAAAGGCCUGCCCAUCUCAUAUAUAUGAUAAAGGAAGCAGGCUGUUUUUAGCUAUUUUUGCUUUUUCUUUUGNNNNNNNNNNNNNNNNNNNNNNNNNNNNNNNNNNNNNNNNNNNNNNNNNNNNNNNNNNNNNNNNNNNNNNNNNNNNNNNNNNNNNNNNNNNNNNNNNNNNNNNNNNNNNNNNNNNNNNNNNNNNNNNNNNNNNNNNNNNNNNNNNNNNNNNNNNNNNNNNNNNNNNNNNNNNNNNNNNNNNNNNNNNNNNNNNNNNNNNNNNNNNNNNNNNNNNNNNNNNNNNNNNNNNNNNNNNNNNNNNNNNNNNNNNNNNNNNNNGGGGGUCUAAUAUGAGAUGUAUAACGUGCUCAUACUCAUCCAUUAGGAUGUUCCCCCCUUCAAGAGCUCCGCUAGGAUACUAACUUGGUUACCUAGCAUUGAAUUAGGUAGGACACUCGUCCUAUUUCAUAGAUAGAAAAAGAACUAAGUCCAUUAUUUGUGGUACCCCUAAGAGACCUUUUUCCUUUCCUUGUAUUGUAUUAAGUAAAUUUUAAGGGUAAGUAAUAGUAACAUGAUCCAAUACUAACAAAACAUAUAUCUUCAAAUGGUAUCCCGUAUACACGAGUUUUAUAAUCAAUCUAUUCUUCGAUUUUCCUCCUAUAGAUCUUCAGCAGGUAUAACGUCUUCUAUCUUUUCUGGAAGUUGAAUACUUUAAUAGCCAAAGCAAAUAUGAAGGCAAAAACAACAGCAUAUGCAACAGUCAUAACUGCAACUACUCCAAGAAAAUCAUGUUUGAACCCGA
rnacentral:lncRNA from 1 species